AGGGCAGUAGCUCAACUGGCCAGAGUUCCGGUCUCCAAAACCGGCGGUUGGGGGUUCAAGUCCCUCCUGCCCUGCCA
rnacentral:tRNA from 1 species